GCCCAGGUAGCUCAGUGGUAGAGCAGAGGAUUGAAAAUCCUCGUGUCGCAAGUUCAAUUCUCGCUCUGGGCACCA
rnacentral:tRNA from 1 species